rnacentral:rRNA from 1 species
AAGCUCGUAGUUGAAUUUCGGGAUUAGUACGUCGGUCGUACCUUAGGUACGUACUGGUGUUACUGGUUCCUACCUUCUGACGAACCAUCAUGUCAUUAAUUUGGUGUGGUGGGGAAUCAGGACUGUUACUUUGAAAAAAUUAGAGUGUUUAAAGCAGGCUCGCGCUUGAAUACAUUAGCAUGGAAUAAUGAAAUAGGACGUUGAUCCUAUUGUGUUGGUUUCUAGGAUUGACGUAAUGAUUAAUAGGGAUAGUUGGG